GACGAACGCUGGCGGCGUGCCUAAUACAUGCAAGUCGAGCGCAGGAAACUGACGGAACUCUUCGGAGGGAAGACAGUGGAAUGAGCGGCGGACGGGUGAGUAACACGUAAGGAACCUGCCUCAAGGAUUGGGAUAACUCCGAGAAAUCGGAGCUAAUACCGGAUAGUUCAACGGACCGCAUGGUCCGCUGAUGAAAGGCGCUCCGGCGUCACCUUGAGAUGGCCUUGCGGUGCAUUAGCUAGUUGGUGGGGUAAUGGCCCACCAAGGCGACGAUGCAUAGCCGACCUGAGGGGGUGAUCGGCCACACUGGGACUGAGACACGGCCCAGACUCCUACGGGAGGCAGCAGUAGGGAAUCUUCCACAAUGGACGAAAGUCUGAUGGAGCAACGCCGCGUGAGUGAUGAAGGUUUUCGGAUCGUAAAACUCUGUUGUAAGGGAAGAACACGUACGAGAGGGAAUGCUCGUACCUUGACGGUACCUUACGAGAAAGCCACGGCUAACUACGUGCCAGCCGCCGCAGUAAUAC
rnacentral:rRNA from 1 species